GAUGAACGCUGGCGGCGUGCCUAAUACAUGCCAGUAGAACGCUGAAGCUUGGUGCUUGCACCGGGCGGAUGAGUUGCGAACGGGUGAGUAACGCGUAGGUAACCUGCCUGGUAGCGGGGGAUAACUAUUGGAAACGAUAGCUAAUACCGCAUGACAACAGUUAUUGCAUGAUAACUGUUUAAAAGGGGCAAUUGCUCCACUACCAGAUGGACCUGCGUUGUAUUAGCUAGUUGGUGAGGUAACGGCUCACCAAGGCGACGAUACAUAGCCGACCUGAGAGGGUGAUCGGCCACACUGGGACUGAGACACGGCCCAGACUCCUACGGGAGGCAGCAGUAGGGAAUCUUCGGCAAUGGACGGAAGUCUGACCGAGCAACGCCGCGUGAGUGAAGAAGGGUUUCGGAUCGUAAAGCUCUGUUGUAAGAGAAGAACGAGUGUGAGAGUGGAAAGUUCACACUGUGACGGUAUCUUACCAGAAAGGGACGGCUAACUACGUG
rnacentral:rRNA from 1 species